CUUAUGAACCUUUAGGUUUUUCGUUUCUUUUGCUUGACCGUAGCUAUGUUUUGGCAAGAGAUGGAUGGGGGAAGCAGCUUAUUUAUUUAUUUUCUAACAGUCUUUGUUUAGAUGUACUAAAAUAGAUUUUAUUACAUAAAAUGUUGUUAAUUGGUGUAUUACACAUUUUUUUGAAUAGUGUAUUACUAAAUUUUUGUGGAAUAUGGGACUAGAAAGAUAAUCAGUAACCUAUAUCUAAGCCCCUUCUUACCACACUAUGUGGAAUUAAAAUAUUCUGUUUUGUUAUUUUCAUUAUCCUUUUUUAUCUUUCUUAUUUAAAUUUUUUUAAAUGUUUGUUUAUUUUUGAGAGAGACAGAGACAGAAUGUGAGUGGGUUAGAGGCAGAGAGAGGGAGACCGAGAAUCCGAAGCACGCUCCAGGCUCUGAGCUGUCAGCACAGAGCCCAGUGCGGGGCUUGAACUCUUGAACCUUGAGAUCAUGACCUGAGCCAAAGUCAGAUGCUCAAGCGACUGAGCCACCCAGGCACCCCUGUCUUUCUUAUUUAAAGUGUUAUAUGCAUAACUUUAAAAACAGUGAGCUGAAUUCAAAUGGUGAUAAUUUUUAUAGAAUUGAUUGAUGCCCCUUAAAUGUCUGUGAAUACAUCCUUGAAAAUCUUAAACCAGGACUGUGAGGCACUUUUCUAACCAGUCCUAAACUUUUGACUAUCAUUUAUUGAAUGCCAAACAAGCGUGGACUUUUAUAUCAAUCAAACCAGGAUCAAAAACUAAAACCUUGAAAGGCAAAUAUUUACUUCAUUUAUCUCUGGACAUAGCACAGACUUAAUUGGAAUCAUAAGUUGAUGAAUUGGAAUCAUAAGCUGAUGGGUGAUUGUUUCCUAUCGGAAGAGCAGGGCACACAAUCCCAAUUCUAUUUUACUGUCCAUGAAGUUGCCCGGAGCUAAGGGUUCCAGCUCCUGGCUGCAGAUAAGAGCUAUUGAAACCUUAGAUGUUAAGCUGUAAGGUUAGCUCUUUUUUAGGUAGUUGCCACAAGUUUGGCUGGCAGCUCUUGCCUGUUCUGGAACCUUUCCCUUCUUAACUUCAUUGUUCCUCCCUGUGACUUAAUUCGCACUAGCAGCUUCCUCUCGUGUGUCUUAAAGCUUUGGUGACGUGGUUGUGGAUCUCAUUAACCAAACUUAAUUUAUGAGAAUUAGGAUUUCUGUUUUCAAAUCAGAUAAAUUAGGGACUGGCAUGUAAUUUUUUUUUUUUUUUUUUUUUUUGGUCAAAUCACCAUGGAUUUUUAAAAAAUAUUUUCCCUUUUUUAGUACAUUUCAAAUCCUUUAGGAUUUAAAAAUAUAUAUAUUUAACUAGAAAGUAGGUAUUAUGUAUAUCAAAGUUUGCCUGAAAAGGAUAAUUCUACAUUUAGAAUGGUGUCAGUAUGUAUGGGUAUGUAAAAAUACGGUUUUGUUUACAGAUUCUUUGACGGUGAGGAAUUUUUUUUCCUUUAUUUAUAUUGAUUUGCUCUAACUAAAGCAUUUGCUCCAUGGGCAUAUUUAAUCUCACUGUUUAGUUAAGUUUACAGAGGAUGGGUUAAAGGUUUGGUUUUUCUGUUGAUGAGUGAUGAGUUGCUUUGGCACGAUGAUCUUUACCAUUCAUUCCUAUGUGCCUUUCCAUGCUCAGUGUGCGGUCUCGGACAGAGCCAGUCCUAAAAUUUUUCAUCAGUAGCUAUAGGUGUUUGUAUGAUGAUUUCAUAGGAAUUGGGGGAUGAAGGGGAAGUGCGGAAAUAAAAUGGGGAUUGAAAGAGCAGUAAUUAGUACUUUAAUAAUAAACACUAAUGUUUGAAGUCGAAUAUAGUUACCAAUCUAUUUUACAUAACAUCUGUAUGUCUUUGCACUUCAUUUACAUCCCAGAAGUCUUCCUGACUUUAGCAAACCAGAUGUGAAUAAUACUUGUAAUAUAUUUAGAUAUUUGAUUUUUGUGUACCCGGCAGGCUAUCGAUUUCUGAGCAAUGUAAUUGAAUUAUUUUAUUAGUUUUAGAUUUCAUUCUCAUGGUUGAAGGCUGAACUUCAAACUUCAUUUUAUUGUAGUAUAGAAAUGUUAAUGAUUUUGAAAAACUAUUUUAGGAGGUGUUAACAAUUGGAAAAAUUUUAAACCAAACGUUGUUUUAAAAGUUGGCAUUUGCUGUAAUAGAACUUUGUUAGGUAUAAUGACUUUUCCACUUUUAUACUCUGAAUGGAAAAUAGAGCCUCUUGUUUGAUGCUGAAACAGGAUCUUAGUGUUCAGGUCAUUUUGGAUGGACAGACUGAUGUUGUCUGUGGAUGAGGGCAUUUGGAUUUAAUAGAUUUGGGAUCACGUCCCAUGCCUCUCUUCAAAAGUUCUUCGCUUUUAGAGAAGUUGUUUAGGUUUUCUGAACUGAACUUUGUGUUUUGCUGUAACAGAGUUGGUGAUAAUAGUUUAGUUACUACCUUACAGGGUUAUUGUAAAGACUAAAUGAGAUCAUUGAUGUGACUGGUUUGUAGUUGAGAAAAAGCAAAAAUAAGUGAAAAUUUUUAGGCUUAAUUUUGUGUGGGUGUGCACACAUUUUCAGUUUAGUGACCGAUGAGAGGAAAAUUUGCUGCCCGGUGCUAAACAAGUUUUAUGCACAAAUUGAUAUUUUUGGGAAAGCUCUUAUUUGAUGCUAAGAGAUACACAUGAGAGAAAUAUAUUUUCAAGAAUGACAUUUUAAGUAUAAAGUUAAGUAAUUAUAGCGUACUUUUUUUCAAGAGAUUAAAAGAUGAUUUAACACGGCGUAUUUUACAUAGCUAAAACGAUUUUAAUAGUGAAGACAAAUGAAUCUAUUGAUGAAUAGAUUUCACCUGUUCGAUUAACAGCAUAUGAUUUCUUGAGCUAUGAUUAUUUUCUGUAGUGAUAGCAAAACUAAAUCAUUUGCCUGGUGGACUCUAAAAGAGUUCUUAAUGUUUGCUAUGAGAUGAUAGGAUAAACUUAGACAAAUUAUAUAUUAUAUAUUAUAUAUGUAUGUAUGUAUGUAUGUAUUUAAACAGUCAGGUCCAAGAAGGUAAAAGAAAUUUAUUCACAUUGUUUUUUUCUUUGUGGUGGCACAUCUUCUGUUGCUCAUAGCCUUAGGAAUAUAAUAAGUAAGACAGAAAACUUUGGCUUUGUCCUAAAGAGUUGUGGCAAAUAACAUCAAACAUAAAAAAUUUCUGGGUUCCUGAAGUAUGUUGAACUUGAAAAAACUUUUCCUUCCAGGAUAUGCUUAAAAACAAACCAGUGAAAAAUGUAUUCCUUUCAAAUAAUUUAGAAAUUAUUCAUGGAGAUUCUAUUCAGUUUCAGCCUACAUUUGAUUACUACAGAAUUUGAAGUUUAUACACUUUAUUUUUUGAAUGCUAGUUUUAGCAAAAUAAUUGAUUGCUCCCAGUAACCGUUUGGACCUUGAAUUUUUUUCUGAUAUCAGGUAUAUAGUAGUUAACAGAAACAUAUUUGCUAGUGCAUUUUCUGAAUUAAUCAGCUGUCUCUUCCUCAUGGGCGAGCCUACCUUGAACGAUACUCCAACAAGCCUCAAAUACUUUUAAAUAUUCUGAUUACUUUUGUAUGUGCUGUUAGCAGAUAUCCAUGUGUGGGCACUCACACAUUGGGAAGUAUAUUAUUUUGACUGCUUUUGUGUUGUUUUGUCUGGAUUUUUCUUUUCUACUUUUAAGCCAGAGAUUCUUUCUUUCUUUCUUUCUUUCUUUUUUUUAAUGUUCUUAUACCACUCACCUAUUUUUCAAGAAAUGCCCUUACCUUUUGAUUUUAAUAGCAAAAAAAUAGAUUUUGUAUAAUAAGAUGAAAUACUUUGAUGCAGGAGAAUAUGUUUUAGCACUUUAAAACUUCCCUGCCCCCUCUUUCCUCAACAUCACCCCCUCCCCUGCCCUCUUUUCACUUCUCCUGGCUCUUCCAGACCUCCUCUUUCCUGUACUUUCCUUGUGAUGUUUCCAUCUAGAGACAAACAGACGAAAAGGCAGGGAAAGGAAUCCCUCAUGUAGAGGAUAAACAGACGUGUGAACAAGUGCUUACAAUGUGAAAGAUAAAGGAAAUCUCUUCCUAGUUUCCCGAAAAAUAUGAUCAUUGGUGGUAAUUUUUUUCGAUUUUUCUCAUAACUUUAGGUGGUGCCUUUUGCCACGUGUCUUGAUAAUGAGGGCUGUCUGAUGGGAAACCCGUAAAAGCAUAUUAAUGAAACAGUUUGGACUUAUCUAAACGUGUAUAAUAGUUUUGCAGCCUUUUUUUGACCCAUAAAAUAUGUAGUCAUUUUCUGUUGGUUUUAUCUGAUGGGGGAGAUAGCAGAAGAUACUGUGUAUUUUGUCAUUUGAAUGUAUUUGAGAAUUGUAUGCAAGGUGAGAAGAGGGAUGUGGUUAGAGUCUUGAGUGUAGGCGUUCGUGGGUGGCUAGAGAAGGAAGAAUGUGUGUAUGGAGACUAAGAAAGAUAAAUGAGAAGUGGGAGCCAGGAUGGUUGGUGUCACCAAAACCAUGGAUUUUUAAAGUUUCAUGAUGAAUCAAUCAGCUGUGUCUGCCACACAGGCCAUGUAAAAUACAUUCUAAGAGGACUAUUAGAUUUGGCUUUCAGCGGUGGGGGGGAUUUGAGGUUGCAGUAGCUUGAGGUAUAAAUGGGGGUUGAAAUGAAGACCCCGAAUGUAGGGUUCUUGCUACAUUUGUUACAAGUCAUUGCAAAGGAAAAACUCCUGCACCUAGGAAGAGAAGAGAGAAGCAUUUAAAGAGGGCCUGUGAUAAAACUGCGUUGUGCUGUCUGUGGUUUUAACAAGUGUCUCAUGUACCACUGCACUCCGUUUUGUUCACAAGCAUUAUGCACAGAGGAAUGUGAAAUCGAGAGACCAGUUCAACCAGAGGUGACGAUAGUUAACUAUAUACUGUCUAGGUAGCUCUUUCACUUUUUUCCCUCUCUUUCCGUUUUCCUUCAUAACCAAAACAGAGUUACCACCACUUCUAAUUUUUUAUUUGUUUUAUUGGUGUUCUGAAAAGAAUACAGUAAAAAACUUACAUUUUCAACAUCAGUAAUUGUCAUAGUUUAAAAAAGAAGUUUCAAUAUGUACUUUCAAGAAAGAAGAUUUUAUAUGUACCUUGUUUUUUAAUGUACUAGAGAGGUUGGAAUAAUAUCAUUGCUAUAAUUCCCUUUUUAAUUCCUGCCAGUGGAUUGAAACUAAGCUGGAAACAAAGCUCUCUUUGUUUAGUAGGCCAUCCAGAAAUAAGGAUGAUCUUCCAUUAAUUAUUUGUCCUUGCAGGACUUAUUUUCAGCAUUGUUUUUUUUCCAAAAUGUCUUUCAGUUUUCAGAUUCUCUGAUUUUAGGAAAACUGUAGAAUCUAGGCAUGCCCCGGAUCAGUUUGUUUACGUUGCCUGCCUAUCUAGCUACAUAUCUGUCUUUCCUUCUUUCUGUCCCUGUGUGUAUAUGUGCAUGUAUAUGUGUGUAUGUACCUGUGUAUGUGUAUUUAUCUUUCCUUCUUCCUUUCCUGGAUGUGCUUGGUUUCAGUGACUCCUUUAUUUACCAACCCAAGGGAUUUGAUAUUACUCUUUCAAUGUGUCUGCAAGUUUUAAAGGAUGUGUUUUGGAGGGAGGGUUUUUGUUAACUUCAGUAAUGAUGUUCAAAAUCAGAUUAGGAAGAGGGGAGAAGAAAUUUUCAGUACCAAGUGGGAGUUAAUUUGAGUUUUUUUUUUGUUUUAUCAUACAGCUGACCACCUCUUUUGCCUUUGCUUAAGAUGUCCUAGCUAAAUGCCACUUGCUUUGUUGGAAAAAAAGUCAACUGAGGGGUCAGGACAUAAAUGAAUGGAGGUUCAAAUGAUUACCCUUUUGGUAGCAUGAAGGAUGUAUGCUUAAUGUACUCAUAUCUCUGGUUUCGUUUAGGAUGUUUAUAUUAAGUUUCUUCAUGUCAGCUUCAGCGAAUCUAAGCAUUAUGGAAGUGUAUUGUGGUACAUCAAAUAGCUAAUUCCCCGAGAUUAAAGUGAUUAUUUUGGAAAUAGGCUGCAUUUUAAGUUGAAUGCUUAUGUAUCUCCUGCUUUGUAAAAUACCCUAGGUUACUUUUGCUGAAGUUUCUUAGAGUUUAGAAGAAAUGUAAAAUGUAUGUGCCUGGGAGGUCAUUUCCACUCAUAAUUAAUUUCUCAUAGCGUAUUGAUAGCAUGUGGGAAACUUUUAUGGCAAGUUAAAAACAGACAUGUCUAAGGGAAAUGGCUGCUCUUGUUUUAUUAUAUUACUAUUUUUAAAAAUGUACACAUCUAUAUAUGUUUUUAUUUAUGAAAUGGGACUUUUAGACUGUCUAUGAAGGACGUGGGGGGAUGUUUCUUAAUUUUAAGUUGGAAAAUUUCAGCCACACCAAGUAUAAAUUAGUUCUAUAGAAUGGCUCAAAAAUAUGAGCAUCCCAAUGAUUAUUUAUAAUUUCUUGUUACAGUCUACCAUAUAUCUCUGCUACGUAUAUUAUUCUAAAAGGUGUAAUAACCAUUGGUUUUUCUAAUGUCAAAUUCUUUAGAAGAUCUCAGGCUUUUUACCUCCAUUUAGUUUUUAAUAUAAUUAUAGUCAAGAUUUAGUGAAAAUCGUUGCAUCAUGGGCACAAGACAGAUUCUGAAAGAAGCCCUAAGAGUAAAAAUAAUUGGCUAAUGUAUAUUUUAUUUUUGGUAUGGUAAUUUUCAGUCCUUCAAUUUCAUUCGGCUCUGUUUUAUUUCCAUUUUUCAGCUGAGAUUUCCUAUAUUUUAAAUUCACUGUGAGUACAUUUCCCUUUAUGUCCCUAAGCAUAAUUACAAUAAUUGCUUUAAAAUCUUUGGUACUAAAUAAAAUAUCUAGAUUAUCUCCAUCGGUUUUAUCUAUUCAUUAUGGGUUAGAUUUUGCUGUUUCUUCAUCUCUUGAAUAAUUUUGAAUUAUAUUUUGGGCAUUGUAAGUAAUGUAGAGAUUCUGGAUUCUGUUUUCUUUCUCUAAAGAAUGUUCAUUUUGUUUACUAUUUUGUUUUAAAACAGUAAACUUUAGCUCAACUCAGACUCCAAUCUCUUAUCUCACCUUUGGUGGGUAGCAGUUGAAAUCUUUUUACUUCUUUUAGUGUAGGGUUUCUCACUUCUGCAUUGCUGACAUUCUGGGCUGGACGAUUGUUGUGGAUACUGUUCGGUGCCUGGUAGGACGCCCAGCAGUACCCCUUGCCUCUACCUGUACAAUGCCCAUAGUGCCUUCCUCCUCCAGAGGAAGAUGCCACCAGAUAAAUGGCCAGCUGUCUCCCAAGAGGCCUAAUUGCCCCAAUUGAGAAGCCACUGUUCUGGUGUUAGCUAGGCAAAGUCUGACCUGUGCACCUAAUUCAGGGGGUCCACCAGAGAUUCGGUCAGAGUUUUGACUCUGUCUUCUUCCCAGGAUUUCCUUUCUCAUUUUCUAGCUGCUCGGGUCUCUUUGAACUCAGUCCUCUGGUUCUUCAAGCCAGUAAGACUGGAAGUGGAGUUUGUAGACAGUGUUAGCCACUCCAUGUGGUUCAGUCUGCCGAAAAGGGGAAAGUCACUUGCUACCAUUCCUUCUUGUCAAGUGUAGACUCUUGCCCCCUCUCUAAGUUCUUAGCUCCAUUUAGUAGCUUUUUUUUAUCUAGUAACAUUUAUUUUUAGCAGAUUUUAAUAUUUUCUUCAUAAUUCUGGUUGUUAGUUUUUGGAUGGAGAGAUGUGUUGGUUUGGGAGGAGCUUUGUUACUGCCCAGAGUGGAACCUAAUGAGUAUUUAGGGCAUAAAACUUCACCAUCUUUUGUCACCCGGCUCUUAUUUGUGCUUGACUUAGGUUUGCAUUGUCUGUCUAUUAAAAUUGGAUGGCUUAGCAUCUGGUGCUAAAUCACUUUGUGGGAGACGUUGAUUUUAAUAUGUUACUUAAUUGACUAAUGAAAUGUCACCUAUUUUCUCAGUGAUUCCAAUGUUUGUGUGUUGUAAAUUGUUCCCAAUUUAUUAAUUAAUGGCUUUGUGUUUUAUACUGUUUUAAAAGUACUAAUGUUUGUAAUCUCUUCCCUCAAAUUUAUAAACACUGAACAUCUUCUUAAAAAUGUAAAGGCAUGAAAGGUCUUUAUUAUUUCUUUUCUCAGUUGACAUUUACGUUGAAGCCUUGUCCAAAAUCAGUUUUAAAACUUGACAGAAAUGGGGUGCCCGGGUGGCUCAGUCAGUUAAGCAUCCAACUCUUGAUUUUGGCUCAGGUCAUGAUCCCACAGUUGAUGAGAUCGAGCCCGACUUUGGGCUCUGCACUGAUAGCGUGCAGCCUGACUUGGGAUUCUCUCCCUCUCUCUCUCUGCCCUUCUCCGUCUUCACGUGCACACUUUCUCUCUCUCUCUCUCUCUCUCUCUCUCUCUCUCUCUCUCUCAAAAUAAAUACAUAAACUUAAAAAAAAAAAACUUUACAGAAAUGUUCCUAAACUGUCCUUGUUAAUUUCCUUUAGGGAAUGAGUUAGGAUGAGAUGAGACAGGAAAGUAAGAGGAGGAAAGGACCAGGAAAUUACCAGAUUAAAGAAAGUCCAAAUGUGUCUUUUCUUUGAAAGGUGAGCUGAGGGUUCUCAGUAAAAUGUUGUGACGAUGACAUAUGUGCAAUAUGUUGGCAGCAAGGGGAAAAAGCAUCACAGAUUAAAGUUGGAUUACGGACGUCUCUCCACUUUUAGACAAGAAUGUUCACUUCUUCAAAGAAGGUUAAGAAUACUGCUUGAAAAUGUUGCUUUUGAUUGAUUUUAUGUAAUUUUCUUCCUAACAUUUUCCCUUCAUCAGUUCAAUGAAAUGUAACUAAAAAUGUUAAUGAAGAUUAUAUAAACAAAUUUCACUCUCCUUAAAGUGACUGGGCCUAGGUUUGCACGUGCGCGUGCACACACACACACACACACACACACACACACACCCCAGUUUUGUUUGUUUUGUUUUGGUAGAAUGGAGAUUGUGUGUAAGAUGGUUUAGGGCUGAGUAAAGUAACAUGAAGUGGCUGUCAAGAACCUGACUUGUGGCUGCUGUUGUAAUGGUGGUUGGCCGCCACUCAUGGUGGAAGGGGUGGGAGUAAUUACUUAGAAAAAAACUAAGGAUAAUUACAAGUUUUUAUGUUUCUGGUAGUUUCUUGUACUAGCAGAAGAUUGCUAUCCAAAUAUUUUUUA